GAUGAACGCUGGCGGCGUGCCUAAUACAUGCAAGUCGAACGCAUAGCGAAAGGUGCUUGCACCUUUCAAGUGAGUGGCGAACGGGUGAGUAACACGUGGACAACCUCCCUCAAGGCUGGGGAUAACAUUUGGAAACAGAUGCUAAUACCGAAUAAAACUUAGUGUCGCAUGACACAAAGUUAAAAGGCCCUUCGGCGUCACCUAGAGAUGGUUCCGCGGUGCAUUAGUUAGUUGGUGGGGUAAAGGCCUACCAAGACAAUGAUGCAUAGCCGAGUUGAGAGACUGAUCGGCCACAUUGGGACUGAGACACGGCCCAAACUCCUACGGGAGGCUGCAGUAGGGAAUCUUCCACAAUGGGCGAAAGCCUGAUGGAGCAACGCCGCGUGUGUGAUGAAGGCUUUCGGGUCGUAAAGCACUGUUGUAUGGGAAGAACAGCUAGAAUAGGAAAUGAUUUUAGUUUGACGGUACCAUACCAGAAAGGGACGGCUAAAUACGUG
rnacentral:rRNA from 1 species